CCAAAAUAAUUGCAAAUGCAAACUGCCUAAAGUAUUCUAUGUAUUAGCAGUAUUGCCUCCUACUGUUGUAUGCUGGAUCCUGUGCUGUCGAGAGCUUACUAGUACUUUAGCAGAGGGCUAGCCUAGUACAUGGUCGCAAGAGUCCACAACCAUGGAGCUUUGAUGUAUAACUGCGGACUGUGGGCACUGACACAGUAACUCAGCACUCGGCUGGACGCAUGGCACCGAAGGAAAUUGCGGUACCUGCUUGGUGUUGUGUACCCUCGCCACAAGCCAAAUGCCACGGUGUACUCUUCAACGCCACAAGACCCAGUCAGCACUAUCUGCGGAGUGCCGCAGACGUCGACUGCUCUGGCUGGGCCAUGUUGUUCGUGAAGGACCUACUGUAACUCAGCGUCUUACCAAGCCCUGGAGAUGGCAAUUAACACCCAGGACUACAUUGCAGGCCUUCUUGGCAGACUGGUGUGCAAUGCUGCAGAGACGGAGCCUGUCCUUCAACCCCUUGCUGGUGAAGCUGUUCCAAAGGCCGCCAACACUGCCCCUCAGGCCAGACUCUGGUCCAUGCAAGAGGAUGCAUUUGUUUGAUAUAUUAAAGGGUGUUCUAUCCAGGGAGUAUUGUACUACUCCCUGGUUCUAUCCCUGCACGUCCUCUCACAUGAGGGUAUCACCAAGAGUACAUAAUCCCAGUUGCGCACUCUGGGGGAUUAUUUAUGGACUCGCUAUCAGUAUCACCACUGAUCACAGACUCAGUAUCAGGCAACAACAGCAUAAUCUGAGCCAUUACUACAGUUAGAAGUUAGUCGCUAUGCACGUUAUUUCCGACGUGACGCGAAAGUUCAA